AGAAUUGUGGUGCAAUGGAUAACGCGUCUGACUACGGACCAGAAAAUUCCAGGUUCGACUCCUGGCUGGCUUG
rnacentral:tRNA from 1 species